rnacentral:lncRNA from 1 species
UGUAUGUGUUGUUUUCUUUACAGAACAAAGGUAUUCUGAAGUAUCAGUGCUCAAUAUAUUUUCAUUUUAUGAUUAAUACUACAACAGAUCAGUCAUUAAAUAGCAGCUUCUGUUAAUGAAUCAGAUUUGCCUUGGAACCAAUCUGUCACAUGCUUGAUUUCAGCCCCACGGCUAGAAUACAGCUGUCCCAGCCCCUUCUUCUUGCCGAGGGCGGAGCCAUCCUCGGGGAGGCGGAGCUACAAGCUGGACCGAAGCUUGUCCUUGAAUAGUCACGUGGCAACCGCCGCAUCCCUGCCAUGACCUCUCACGUUAACACUAUUAUGUGAGAGAAAAAUGAACUUCUGUCUUUUACAAGACCGUGUUUACAUUCUCCUUCUUCUAGCAUCUUAAAGGCUCUUGUGUUUCUGCACCUUAUAUGCAAACUUGUGUUCAUGUUACCUUUUCAUAAUGUUUUGGCUCCUAUUCUUUAAUGGAGAAAUCAAAUUCCUUUAUAAGAAAUAAAAAAC